rnacentral:rRNA from 1 species
AUGGGCCCACUUGAUAUUCUGAAUUUUUUGAAGAAGCGCUCCUUAAUCUAUCCUAAUGCUGUUAUUGCAUACAAAAUUUUGUUAACCAUUCCUGUGACGGUUGCAUCCGCAGAAAGGAGCUUUUCUAAACUCAAGUUGUUGAAAUCCUACUUGCGUUCUACUAUGUCACAAGAAAGACUCAAUGGAUUGGCAACUAUAGCACUUGAAAAUGAUAUCUUGGAGAAGAUUAAUUAUGAAGAUUUGAUCGAAGAUUUCAUUUCAAGAAAUACUAGAAGAAUGUUGCUUUUUGGUAGAAAAUGA